rnacentral:rRNA from 1 species
GCCUCCUGAUUUGCUUAUUGCACCACAUGUGUUUUUCUUUGAAACAAACUUGCUUUGGCGGUGGGCCCAGCCUGCCGCCAGAGGUCUAAACUUACAACCAAUUUUUUAUCAACUUGUCACACCAGAUUAUUACUUAAUAGUCAAAACUUUCAACAACGGAUCUCUUGGUUCUCGCAUCGAUGAAGAACGCAGCGAAAUGCGAUACGUAAUAUGAAUUGCAGAUAUUCGUGAAUCAUCGAAUCUUUGAACGCACAUUGCGCCCUCUGGUAUUCCGGAGGGCAUGCCUGUUUGAGCGUCGUUUCUCCCUCAAACCGCUGGGUUUGGUGUUGAGCAAUACGACUUGGGUUUGCUUGAAAGACGGUAGUGGUAAGGCGGGAUCGCUUUGACAAUGGCUUAGGUCUAACCAAAAACAUUGCUUGCGGCGGUAACGUCUACCACGUAUAUCUUCAAACUUUGACCUCAAAUCAGGUAGGACUACCCGCUGAACUUAAGCAUAUCAAAGGC